GAUGAACGCUGGCGGCGUGCCUAAUACAUGCAAGUCGAGCGAACGGACGCGACGCUUGCUUUUUUGAUGUUAGCGGCGGAGGGGUGAGUAACACGUGGAUACCCUACCUAUAUGUCUGGGAUAACCACGGGAAACCGGCUCUUAUCCCGGAUAAUAUUUUGCACCGCAUGGGUCAAAAGUGAAAGACGGUCUUGCUGUCACUUAUCGAUGGAUCCGCGCUUCAUUAGCUAGUUGGUAAGGUAACGGCUUAUCACGGCAACGAUGCGUAGCCGACCGGAGAGGGGGAUCGGCCACACGGGAACUGAGACACGGUCCAGACUCCUACGGGAGGCAGCAGUAGGGAAUGGUCCGCAAUGGGCGGAAGCAUGACGGAGCAACGCGGCGUGAGUGAUGGAGGUCUUCGGAUCGGAAAACUCUGUUAUGAGGGAAGAACAUAUGUGGAAGUAACUGUGCACAUCUUGACGGUACCGAAUCAGAAAGCCACGGCUAACUACGUG
rnacentral:rRNA from 1 species